ACAUGCCUACAACAUAGCGUUAAUGCACCAGAUCCCAUUAGAACUCCUCAGUUAAGCGCGCUUAGGCUAGAGUAGUACUGGGAGGGGUGACCACUCAGGAAGUCCUAGUAUUUGACAUGCC
rfam:Picea glauca, whole genome shotgun sequence.